CGCGAGGCGGGGUUAGGGGAGCGCUGCGCCCUGGCGCGGGAGGAGGGCCGCGCGCCGCGUCCGCUGGGAAGGAGCAGCGAGCGGUCUCGGGUUCCGGCGAGCAGCUAGAGGACUCGCGGAGCUGUGGAGGACCUCUGGACUCUCUGCUGAGCUGAGCUGAGCACCGCGCCCGCCAGGCCGACGGGUCCGGCAGGGCCUGGCGUCGAGGGGGACGCGCGCGGUGGAAACGCUGAGGAUCUAGGCGCUGCGGCCUGAGGUGAGGAGGGCGGGGGCGGGGUGAAGGAAGGGUGGUGUGGCGGGAGGGUAGGGGCUUCGUCGGCGCGGACCGGCGACCUGGCACUCGAAGGGCCUCCCUUGCGAGAGAGAGGCGGACCCGACGCGCGCGAGUCCCGAACUUGUCAGUCUCAGCCUGGAAAUCCCCACAUUCCUCUCUCUCCCUGCUCCCACCUCCGAAUCGUACUUCCCCAACUUUGUCACCUAGAUGUCUCAAUCCUAGGUACAGACCUUAAACUCGAUCACGCACACACUCGGCGCACAGGCUGGCACACCCUUCCGAAGCUCCCGCCCAGAACUCCCUUGGUGACCGUACCUCUAGUUAUCAGAUCCCACCUCUAGUUAUCAGAUCCCACCUCUAGUUAUCAGAUCCCACGUUUUUCCAGUUCCCUAAAAUGCCUUUAGCCCCGUACUUGACCCUUUAAUCCCUACUCUGAGCUUGAUUUCUCUCCCCGAUCCUUCUUUUCAACCUUAAAUUGUAACAAUCAACAUUGUUGUAAGUUCACAGUAGUUAUACAUAUUAUUGACAUUUAUUUUUAUCUUUUCUAUGUAUCGUUCUGACAAAUCCCAUAUGCCGCUGUAUCCUAAAGAACAAAUCCAUCUUUAAAUUUUUCCUUUCUUCCCUAAAUUUAAAGGUUUUUCUAAGUAGCAGGGUUUUGUUCCUUGUGGUUGAACAUUUAUUCAUAACCUCACACUGAAAAAGAAUGUCAGGUUUAAAAUAAGGUCUUUACUAAAGUUAGAAAUAAAGCUUACCACUUUUUCCUUUUUUUCUUUAAAAGGGAACUUCUUUCGGUUUUAUUUGUGUAGUUGUAUAGCUGUAUUUCAGCAACUAUCUGCUUUAAAAUAAUUAUUAUUGGAAAGGCAGGAUGGAUCUUCUAAAAGAUUAUUUAGUUUAGUUUUGUUCCAUGCUGUAAACAAACCCUUUAGACUGUGUGUGACUGCCAGCUUCAAGUUGGAACAACUCUUAAUUUGAAAUUACUGACUCAGAUCAUCUUAUGAGCUGUUCGCCAUUAUCUUGAUUUCCUAAAUUUACUUUAAUACACAUUUGGAAAUAUUUUUGAACUAUAAACUGGAGUACUACAUUUACAAAACCAACUUGAGACUAAGUUAGGCUGUGCUUUCCAAAUAUUUCUUUUGGGGCAUAAUUUGGACAUUUGUUUUUAAUCACAAGUGGAAGAAAAAAAUUACUAAGAAGAAGUGUCAAAGAUAAAUUUUGUAGUAGAAUAUUACCUCAUCUCAUAUCUGUAUUAAUAAUACUAUUACUUAAGUUUCUCAUAGGUAAUUUAGAGCAUUGUAAACAUUGCUGCCAGCUAAUAAGCAUAUUCUUAUAUAACUCAAAAUGUUCUCAUUUUUAUUUAUGAGUUUCAGUGUUUUGAGUUUAUUUAAAUUUUUUUCUUAAGAGAAUUGGCAUUUCAGUUAAAUGUUUGGGUGAAUGUUGAUUAUUAUAUACCUGUGAAGUAGGUGUUACACUGUCUACUUGAUAGACAAGGAAACAGGCUCAGGGUCCCUCUGUAAACUAGAUCUGUGUGGCUCCAAAUCCUUUGCUACAAACAUCUUGUGUUGACAGAUUUCUCACAGAGAGUUCAGUGCUACAAUUUGGUUGGGGAGCUUAAAUGUUAAACCAGAACUCCUCUAUAGAGGUAGCCAUGUUUUUUCCCCUAGAAGCUAUUUCAGAGCUUCUCAUUUUAAUGGCAGUCAGAAUUCCCUGGUAUUUGCAUCUGGGCUCCUAGGGAAGCAUGGAAUGUUCUCACAGGUUUCUCCAUUUCUUUUAUUGCAAAGGCAAUGUAGUCAGAGUUGAGAUUUCUGUUGAGCUUUAUUAUUUUAUGCAACAAAACUCAUCAGUUACAACCUGCUAUAGGAACUCACAAGAUGCCUAUAUGUCAUCAGGACCUUCAAAGAGUUUAAAAAAAUUAGGGUGACCAAUGUGAAAAAUUAUAUGGAUGCAAAGCAGUUUUAAUUAAAUAUAGAGCGAUACAGAAAAUGUUACAGAUAUUUAAGUUAAAGAGUGAUCAAUUAAGAAUUGGAAUGAACAAAGAAUCUGCUGGAGUUCAGCCUUGAAACCUGGGUAAAAUUUGGAUAAAAGGAAAAAUAGUGGGAGCCCAUUUAUAAUAUAAAACAGAGGACGUAAUGUAGAAUGGGAACCUAAAGAAUGUAAUAGAGGACUAUUACAUUGGCAUUGCAGUUAAAUGUUAGGGUGAAUGUUGAUUAUUCAUGUGAAAAGGGUCAGAAAUAACUAAGGUAUAUUAAUUACAAUAGCCAAUACAUAUUUAAUGCUUAUUUCCUACUGGUAUCUAUUGUAGGCAUUUUACUCCUAAUAAAGUAUUUAAAUAUCAUAACCUCUACCUCAUAGGUGGAUCUUUUUAUACACAAAAGGAAAGCCAGGCACAGAAGGGUUAAUUACCUUGCCUAGUUAAUAAGUGUUAGAUCCUAAAUUUGUAUCUAGAUAGCAUGGCUUCAGAAUCUCUUAACCAUACAUAUGCUGUUUCAUUUGGGGUACUUGAGUAACAGUGAGUAGAAUAAUAUGUUCAUACCAUAGGUCUGUUAAACCUACUCUUGGGCUGAAAAUGUAGCCACUUAUAUAGAGAGCUGGCCUAGCAUGUGCAAGGCCUUGGGUUCCAUCCCCAGCACAGUGAUAAAUAAAUAAAUAAAUACCCACUAUUAGUUGUUUAGUGAGUACUUGAAAGAUGUUAAAUAUCGAGAUGUGUAAAAUAAUUAUUGUGCAAAGUUAUGAAUUCUUUUAAGGAACUAUAUAAAAGUGCAUUGGGAACAAAGACGUUUGUGAAAAUGGGGGAAAUUCCGUAGAAGAGAUGUUCCAUCUGAGUUAUAAACAGUAAAGCUGAGUCAGGAAGGCAUUGUAGAGACAGGGCAUAACAUAUGAAGAAGCACACACACUGAAAGAAAAAGGUAUGUUAGAGGAAGUCUGGUAGUGCUGUGGCCUGAGCUCAGAAUCUAGAGAUGAUAGGAGAGAACAAUGAAAGGUAAGACCAAACUGUGAAUGACAUGUGAGGCCAAACAGAAUGAGGAACAUCAAUAUUUGUUUUGCAGUUGGAAAACUACAAAAAUAAUUUCAGCAUGAUUGGAGUAAAAGCUAGAUUGCUUGCAGUUCUCUCUGGAAGCGUAGUGGUGAAGUAACUUGAGGGAGAAGUCUAAAGAAAGGAUUUUAUUUAUCUGUUUUGAGGUGCUGGGGAUGGAACCCAGGACCUCCCACAUAGUAAGCAAACUCUUGUCACUGAACUACAGUCCCCCCCUGCCCAGCACCACUCCCAGCCUUUUUUUUUCUUUUUUUUUUUUUAAGAACAGAGAUUUGAAUAUUGGGAAAGAUCAACUGGAAAAAGCAGGUACUUAAAGUAGCUAAAAUAUUUGGCAUAAUUGUUCACCCUUUAAAAAGCUUUUAAGAAUGAAUGACAGCUUAGAGGUAGUGUUUUAGAAAGAUUCAUCCACUGACAAUGUUCAGAAUGGGAGGAAGGAAAGAGACUAGAAGUAGGAAGGUUGUUAUAAGUAAUGAGGUGACCAAAUUAAAUUGGUUGUGGUAGAGGAUAAAAAGAUGAGUGGGAAAGAUAUUGUGAAAGAAAUCUGGAUCAAACUUGUAACUGAGAAAAGCUAAAGUGUAAUGGGCAAAUAAGAGAACAGACUGACUCAGGCAAUUGAAUAGGGUGAGUUGUUUAUAGGUGGGGACAAAAUGUAAGUCCCUGUAAUUUAAAAAAAAAGAAGUGUGUAUCAAUAUGUGUGUGCAUGAACAUGUAUGUAUAUAGGUUCUGUUUUUAGGCCUUUUAAAUUGAUUUGAGUCAGGCAGAAUAUGCAAGAUGAUGACAUGCUGGUGAAAUUUAAAAAGAUCCAAGCCAGAAUUCUUAAAAUUAUUUAUUUUUCAGGUAAUAGUUGAGUCACAUGUAUUCAAAUAAACUGGCAUUUUAAAAGUAGCUGCCAAAUAUUUUAUUAUUCAUAGCCAGAGAAUUCAGUAAAAGAGAUAAGACUCAACUAUAUCAUUUAGUUACACAGAAACCAGAAACAGUUGUCACAAGGCUAUAGAUUCCCCCUCCUCCAGGCUAUAUGGUAUAUUUUAGUGAAAUUUAAUAAGAAAUAAGUUAUCUGAUUGAUCAUGAAUAAGAGAACUUUGUUAAUAUGACUGUUAUGUAGAUUAUUGGGGUGUUUUUUGUUUGUUUUAAUUUUUGCUUUAAAGCUUCAUGUAUACAUAUCCAGAGCAGAACUUCAUUCCCUUUAGCACAAUAAAUUCAAAAUUGUUUUGCCUCAAAAUUUUCAUUUUCUCUUUAUUAAUCAGUUUCAUCCUUUGCUCUAAUGGAGAUUGGCUUAAUUGUUACUUCUGAAUUGGGUUUAAUGUCAGUGUCUUCCACACAGUCUUUUUCUGUUUUUGUUUUUGGCAGUACUGGGGAUUGAAUGCAGGGCCCUACUCUACCACUGAGCUACAUCCCCAAUGCCUUUUUAAAUUUUAUUUUGAAGCAGAAUCUUGUUGAGUUGCCCAGGCUGGCCUGGAAUUUGGGAUACUCCUGCUUCCUGAGUAGCAUUUCUUUCAUUUGGGUGUUCUGUUUUAUAUGUGCCCCCUCAAUCCCACCACCUAGUUUAAAGUAAACUCAUCAGAGCUAUAUGUUGUAUAGCACAACUCUGGUCAGUAGACUGGUGUCCUGGGAUUUUACCAUUGCUAAUCUUAAUUGACAAUUAGAAUCAAUGAUUUAUAGCUCAUGUGUUUGCUAUUUUCUCUGUCUAGAAAACUCUUACCUAAUUUUCUCACUCUAAACUUUGAACUUCUUGACUAUAAGAAUUAUUUAUUUGGCUCCAAUUACAUUUAUAAUUUCUUUCUUUCAUUUUUUGUUGUAUUAGGGAUAGAACUAAGGAGUACUUUGCCACUGAGCUACAUCCCCAGCCCUUUUUUAAUUUUUUAUUCUGAGAUAAGUUCUUGCUAAGUUGCUCAGGCUGGCCUCAAACUUUUGAUUCUCCUGCUUCAUCAUCCCAAAUCACAGGGAUUAUAGGCAUGUGCCACAACACCCAGUUUGUCAUGUUUUAUUUCUUAAGCAAUGUUGAGAAUCUGGAUGCUUAUCAAAGUACACUUGAAACCUCUUCAUUUGGCUAAUAAAAUAGUCAAAGAUAAUUUGUAAAAGGUCUUCUCUACUGUGAGGUCAUUAAUACAUUUCAUAUUCUCUUCUGGCACACUUAUAAUUUUGCUUUUGUACUUAGUUCUGUAAUAAAUCUGGAGUGUUGUGUGCACCGGAUGGAAUAGGGCUCUUUGUUAUUGUUUUUGUUUGUGGAACCAGUUGCCCCAGUAAUAUUUAUUGAAUAGUCAGUCCGUUUUAGCCCAUUAAUAUAAGAUGCCUUUUUAAAUAUUUCAGAUAUUAAAUUUCUCCUUUGUGUAUGUAUAUGUGGUUGGUUCUUGUUUUUGAGAUGUGAUCUCAUUAAGUUGCCCAGACUGGCCUCAAACUCCUGGGCUAAACUGGCCUCAAACUCCUGGCCUAAACUGUCCUCCUGCCUCAGCCUUCUGAGUAUCUGGAACAAUAGGCACACCAUUGUGCCCAGCCUAUAAAUUUGUAUAUGUCCUUGGGUCUUUUAUUUUGUGCCAUUAAUUUCAUUGUGUAUUCUCCUGUACUAGUCAUGUUUUAAUUAUUCUACCAGUGUGUCUUAAUGGAUGAUGGUACAGCAGAUAUUCUCUUUAUACUUUUGGCGAAUUGGCUUUUGGCUAUUUUAAAAUUUUUUAUAUGAAAUUUUAAGUUGGUUUGCAAAAUUCCCUAAGAAAACUCGUUUGCUAUUUGGAUUAAAAUUGUAUUGCAUUUAUAUAUUAUUUUGUGAAUAAUUGAUAGCUACUAUAUUUAUUUAUUUAUUUAUUUGAUUAUUUGAGUUUUUAUGUGUGAGAGAGAAAGAGUGGUACUGGGGAUCCAAUCCAGAACCUCAUGAAUGCCAGGCAAGCACUCUACCACUUGAGCUAAAUCCCUAGCAUGCCCACCUUUUACAUAAAGAUCUUAGACAUUAUUAAUGCACCUUUUAGUAAGAUUUUAUAGUUGUCUCCGUAAAGUUCUUUCAUAGUUCCGAUUAUAUUUUCUCUAAAUAUUAUGGUUUGGGGGGCUUUUAUGAGGAUUUUUUCCUAUUAUAAUUUCUAAUUGGUUAUUAUUGAUGUAUAGGGAAGCUCUAAUUUUUGAUAAUCUUUUGUUCAACUACUAAGUUAAACUCAAUAAUUCUAGUAGUUUAUCAUUUUCUCAUUGUUGAUAGACAAUCUUACCUACAAUUUUUUUCUUUUUACAUUUUAUCUUAUUUAUUUUUGGUUCCCCCUUCUAGAUCAGUGUUGAAUAAAUGUGACUCAAAUCAUCUUGUCUGAAUCUUGACUUUAAUAGGAAUCUUCCAAUUUUUCCUUUAAACCUAUGAAUGCUUACUGUAGGUUUGUUAUAGUAGUACUUAAAGCAGCAACAGCAAGGUCUGUACUACUGGUAGCUGUUACCUUUAUUGAGUAUCUACUAUCAACCAGGUAGAUUCUGGUUAUAUCCAUUUUUAUAGACAAGGAAAAAAAAAGUGAGGAAUAUUAUAUAACUUUUCUAAGAUGAGGGUCUGAGAUCAGAACACAGGCAAUCUGGUUCAGAUUCCCUGCUCAUAUUUAUUAAAAUGAUAGUCUCAAAAGAGACAAAAAGUUCUUAGUUUUCUGAUGCUUUGUUAUUAUUUUUAAAUUUUAGGUUAACAGUUAUUGAAUAUUACCAGAUGCUUUUCAAGCAACUGUUAGAAUGGUGUGUUGUUUUUCUUCUUUAAUCUAUUAAUAUAGUAACAUUAAUAUCUUUUUCAUUUUGAACUAUGGUAGUCUGUUUCUGUCUACAGAGGCUAUAAUCCAAGAUGUUUCAAGGACAUCUGAAACCAUGAAUACUACUAAACCCAUAAAUGCUAUAUUUUUAUACAUGCAUAUUUAUGAAUAUGCAUGUAUAAAAAAUAUGUAUAUUAGGCACAAGAAGAAAUCAACAACAAUAACUAAUAAUAAGGUAGAACAUAAUAAUAAUAUACUAUAUUAAGUUAUUUCAAACUUAAGAAUUUUUUACUUCUGGAAUUUCUAUUUGAUAUUUUCAGACCUUGAUUGACUAUAGGUAACUAAAACCAUGGCAUGGAAAACCAUUGCUAUAGGUUUAUAUGCUUACAUUUUUAAGCUAAGUACUUGUUAGUGUUUACAUUUUGGUUUUGUUUUCAAAUGUAUUCAGGCUUUUUCACACAAAUGUUCAUAAUAAUUUUGACAAUACUUUUGUUAUGUAAUUUUUAUUUAUUUGGUAUCCAAAUGUAUGUGCAACUUACAUUUCUGACCAAGAUGGAAUAACAGGGAGUGGAUUUACUCCUAUACCUGAAACAACCAAAAAACACAUAUAAAUAUUAAAAAAGACUGAACAUCAGAUGAUGAAAUAUAAUGAUGUUGAUUUAUUUGGUUUUGGGAAUUGAACCCAGGGCCUCUUAACCAUUGAACCACAUCCCCAGUGUGCCCCCCCACACUUUUUAAAAUUUUUAGUGGUAAAUUGACACAAUACUUUUGUUUAUUUAUUUAUUUAUUUUUAUGAGAUGCUGAGGAUUGAACCCAGUGCCCCACAUGUGCUAGGCAAGUACUCUACCACUGAGCUACAACCCCAGCCCCCCAUCCCUUUUUAUUUUUUGAGACAGGGUCUCAGUUGCCAGGGGCCUCACUGAGUUACUUGGACUGGCUUUGAAUUUGCAAUCCUGCCUCAGCCACCUAAAUUAUCUAGGAUUACAGGCACACGUCACCAGGCCAACCAAGACAGUGAUCUUGAGAGAUGAGAAACAAAUGAGGUGAACCCUGCAGUUGCCCUUGCUCACUGCAUUGAGACAUUUUAAGCUAUGACACAGGUAGGAAACCCAAGACUGAGACUAUUGGAUACUAUUAAUUUGAAGGAUGUAUCUGGGGAGGCAAAAGUGGUUAGUAGAGUCAAUAGAACAAAAUAAUAAAGAAAAGAGGACACUACAGAGAACUUCGGAAAGGUUCAGAGGUCCCUUUCAACUAUUCAGCUGAUUAAUGAUCAAUGUGAGCAUAUAAAGAAACUACUGAAGGGCCAGGGGAAAAAAACUGAAAAAAAAAGAAUUAGAAGUAACAAGGCCUGACAAAGUCUGAAAUAGUACCUGUUCUGACCAGCCAGGUUAGAAAACAUAUUGGUUCCUGGGAUAUUAGGGAGGAUAUACAAAAAAGUCUUACCUCAAUAGAAGGAAUAUAAUUAGCCCCAGAUGUCAUCUCUAAAAAGCUCAACAAACUUCAAGUGUAAGAAACAUGAUGAAAACUAUGCUAAGGGGCAUCACAAAAAGGUUGCUCAGUCGCUCAAUCAAACUGAUAACAUAUAAAUCCUAUACACAGCCUGAGGUAUAAAAAGACCUUUAAUGCAAAAGAAUAAAGAAAGGCAUGAUAGCUGAUUUUUUUUAAAGUGCCCACAAAACAUUGAUUUCAAGACUUGUAAAGCUAUAAUUAUCAAGACAGUGUAGUAGUUGCAUAAAGAUAAGCAAAUAGAUUAAUGGAACAGAACAGGAUUUGGCAAACUGCAGCUCACCUCCUAUUUUUAUAAAGUAUAAUAACACAGCAAUCCCCAUUUAUUAUCUUGGCUACUUUUGUGUCACAACAGUAGAUUGGCAAUUCCAGCAGAAACCUCAUGGCCCUCAAAGCCAAAAAUAUUUACUUUCUAUCCCUUUACAUAAAAAUGUGCCCACUCCUAGAAAUGAAAAAGCACAAAUAAAUCUAUAUAUAUAUAUAAACAACUAAUUUUUUUCAAAGGUGCAAAAGGCAGUUCUCUUAAGACCGAAUAGCAUUUUCAAAAAAUGGUGCUAAAGUAAUUGGUUAUUCAUAUUACAAAAUGAAUUAGAUUUCUGCUUCAUGCCCUAUAUAAACAUUAAUUCAAAUGAUUCAAAGACCUAAACAUAAAACCUAAAACUUGGAGAAGAAAACAAGAGAAAGAAAACCUUGUGACUUUCAGAAAAUAUUUCUUAAAUACAACACUAAAAGCAGAGUCCAUUAAAAUAGACUUCAUUAAAUCAGACCUUCUGCUCUUCAAAAAACAAUAUUAAGAAGAUGACUAAACCGCAGGGAAAAAAUUAUGUGCAAAUAAAUUUUCUAACAAAGGCCUUGCAUUCAGAAUAUAUUUUUAAAACUUUCAAAAUUUAGUGAUAAGAAAACAAGAAACCUAAUUAAAAAAUAGACAGACUAUUUGAACAGAUAUAUCACCAAAGAGAAUAUAUAGCUGAAUACACACUUAACCAAAUGACCUAGCAAUUCCACUCCUGGUAUUUCCUCCCCCAAAAUUAAACCCUCUGUCCUUACAAAGACUCAGCGCUAAAUUACAGUAAAUUUUGAAUAUACAUAUUCAAAAAUGGAAGUGUUUCUUCAUCUGAUAUAUGUCAAGUGCUUUCUAUGCUAAGUAUGAUUCUAGAUUCUAGGAAUAUAGCAGGGAACAAAAUAGACAAAAUUUCUACCUUAUAUGCUUACAUUCAGUUUUGGUAAUAUAGACAAUGUAUUCAUUUCCUAGGGCUACUGUAACAAACUACCACAAUCUGGAUGGCUUAAAGCAACAGAAAUUUAUCCUCUCAAGGUUCUAGAAUAUAGAAAUCAUGAGUCUAGAAAGAAGCAUUUACCUCUUCCUAGCUUCUGGUUACAGCUUUCUUAGCUUGCAGCAGCAUCAUUCCAGUCUCUGCCUUUUUUGUCACGUGACAUUUUUCUGUGUGUCUUUCUCUUCUUAAAAGGACAGCAGUCAUGGCAUACUAACAGCCCAUCCUAUUCCAGUAUGACAUCUUAACUAAUUACAUCUGCCAUGGCUUUAUUGCCAAAUGGGUCACAUUUUAAGGUAUUGGGAGUUAGGACUUCAACAUAUCUUUAGGGGAAUGUGAUUAAACUCAUAACAGACAUUAAGCAAAAUAAGUACAUUAUAUGUUAUUCUAGAACAGAGGUUGGUAAACUGGCCUGUGGACCAAACCCAGCUUGCAGUCUAUAAAGUUAUAUGGAAACAGCCGUGCCUAAUUGUUUGCAUAUUAACUAUGACUGAUUUUGCACUCCAGUAGCAAAGUUGCCUAGUUGCACACUAAAUCUAAAAUUUAUUAUCUGACCCUUUACAUAGAAUAUUUGCCAUCCUGCAUAGUAGGUCUUAAGUUUAUGGAGACUAAAAUAGGAAAAGAGCCAAAAUAAGCAAUACAUUGUCAUCAGGGAAGAUCUCUAUAUUAGGGGGAAUUUGAGCAAAGGCUAUAAGAAUUUUCUUUCCCCCAGACCUGGGAAUUGAACCCAGGGGUACUCUACCACCGAGUAACAUCCCCAGUCCUUUUUAUUUUUAUUUUGAGGCAGUGUCUCCCUAAGUUGCUAAGAUUGGCCUUGAAUUUGUAGAUCCUCCUGCCUUGAUCUUAUGAGUUGCUGGGGUUAUAGGCAAGUACCACUGCACCUGGCAGGAAUUAAUCUUUGUAUUAAUAUAGAUGUGCAAUAUAUAGUGUUAAGUGAAAAAAGCAAGUAAUAGAAUAUUUAUCACUUGUGAUCCUAUCUUUGUAAAGUAGAAAAGUAUAUAUUUAAGCAAUAUAAAGUUAUAAUGUAUUCAUAGAAAUUUUUGCAAGGCUAUUUGGUAGAAUUACAGGGCAUUUCCACCUGGCAUUUUUCUGCUUUUCACUUAAAAUUUUUAAAAUAUUAUAAAUAUGGUUUCUUGUGUUAUUAAAUUAUAUCAAAGGCUUAAUGUGUUUUACACAAUGAUGGAGGAUUCCAUUCUUUGCCCAAGUUUUAACUUAACUAUAUUUCAAAAAGGAGCCACCACUACUCAUGCUAGAAUUUAACCUAAUGUGUUUUAAACAAUGAUGGAGGAGUCCAUUCUUUGCCCAAGUUUUAACUUAACUGUAUUUCAAAAAAGGAGCCACCACUACUCAUGCUAGAAUUUAACCUAGCACUGAGCAAACCUUAAAAUGAAUUUGUGUCUACAUGCAUAGAAUACGUUGGCAGUUGGAAAAUCAGCAGUUUUAAUUUAGUGCUAUCAAAAGACAAAAAAGUUAGGAUUCUGUCAAAGCACUGCCUUGCUGCUUUUGUUGAAUUCAGCAAAGCAUCCCUUUCACAUUUCUGUGGUAUUCCAUAGAUAUUAAGGAAUUUGGAAUUAAGUGUAAGUGAGCCUUAGUGUUUGCAAGUGUGUAUCUAAACAUACUACUGGGCUGAUGUGGUCCCAAUUUCUCUGAAACUGUGACAGAAGGAUCACUUGAGCCCAAUAGUUUCUGGCCAGCCUGAAAAAAGAAAAAAAAGAAAGAAAGAAAGAAAGAAAGAAAACGGUAAAAAAAAAAAAAAAAAAAGCUAGGCUAUUUAGUAUUCUUACACAAGUGUUUUUGAGAUUAUUUUAUUCUGAAGUUCAGAAGGUCUCUAAAAUGGGAUACUUUGUGCAAACCUGGAAACCUAAUAGCAGAUAAGGAUUUUAGAAGCACAUGUAUAAUAAAUGUUACCAAUAUGUUGGCUUUCUGAACAAGGCUGUUCUCUCUUUACAGCAAAACCCAAAAGAAAGAACAUGACAUUUGGAGGCAGAAGACUUAGUUUCAAAUUCCUGCUCCUUCACUUACUAAUUUUGUGAUUUGGGGUAAGUAAUUUGU
rnacentral:lncRNA from 1 species